rnacentral:sRNA from 1 species
UUUUAGACAGCUGAUCUCUCAUGUUAGAAGAUACUGCAUAAACAGCCUUAUUCCCGAAUAAAAGUGCUGAGUGAAGCUAUUGCUCAAUUCAUUGUUUUGCUGAGGGCUUAUAUGUGUAGAAUUCUUUCAUAAAUUGAUUUUUAAUUAAAUUAAUUAUAAGCAUAGAAGUUUCUAAAGCAGAAUUAACACAAUAGCCCAUUUCAACAAGCUGUAUAUUUGAGAACAGAGUGACAGUUAUUAACAUCCAGUAGGAAAUUAAGAGUUAUUGUUCACAAAUAAUAAAUUACUAGAUUCUGACAAAGACUAAUGGGGAUUAAGCGUGACUCAAUAUAACAAAUUUAAGCCUAAGCAUCUUUUAGGCCCUGAAAUGAACAAGGUAUUGCUGCCAGUUAAAGUCAGUUGUGUCUUACAACCUGCUAGCUGUCUUGCUGUAAAAACUGUAACGUAAGGCCCUUGAAAUAGAUGCCAUCAUCAGCCCCAGCCCCCAAGCAUUCAUCUAUUUAAACACAUGACAGAAGAUGGUGGAAGAGAGUUCAGCAGCUAUUCAUGUGGUAGAAGUGGUUAUUGUAUUAGGACAUACUCUGUUGUAGGCCAGCAACUUUUGAGUUAAAACACUGCAGCUGUUUCUCUUCCUUUCUUUACAUCUCUCUUCUUUUUUUUUUUUUUUUUCUUAGCAAUAAACUCACUUUUUUUCCCCCACAAACAUUUUGUGUAGAUCCAAGGAGCAACAAAUUCCAACUUUCUGCUGUAGCAAUUACACCCUUUUUGUCUGUUUGACUAGAUUUUAGUAUUUUACUUUCUUUCUUCUUUUUAAAGGCAACGGACAGCCAAGACGUAGAUCCAUCCAAGACUUGACUGUAACUGGAACAGAACCUGGUCAGGUGAGCAGUAGGUCAUCCAGUCCCAGUGUCAGAAUGAUUACUACCUCAGGACCAACCUCAGAAAAGCCAACUCGAAGUCAUCCGUGGACCCCUGAUGAUUCCACAGAUACCAAUGGAUCAGAUAACUCCAUCCCAAUGGCUUAUCUUACACUGGAUCACCAACUACAGCCUCUAGCACCGUGCCCAAACUCCAAAGAAUCUAUGGCAGUGUUUGAACAGCAUUGUAAAAUGGCACAAGAAUAUAUGAAAGUUCAAACAGAAAUUGCAUUGUUAUUACAGAGAAAGCAAGAACUAGUUGCAGAACUGGACCAGGAUGAAAAGGACCAGCAAAAUACAUCUCGCCUGGUACAGGAACAUAAAAAGCUUUUAGAUGAAAACAAAAGCCUUUCUACCUACUACCAGCAAUGCAAAAAACAACUAGAGGUCAUCAGAAGUCAGCAGCAGAAACGACAAGGCACUUCAUGAUUCUCUGGGACCGUUACAUUUUGAAAUAUGCAAAGAAAGACUUUUUUUUAAGGAAAGGAAAACCUAAUAAUGACGAUUCAUGAGUGUUAGCUUUUUGGCGUGUUCUGAAUGCCAGCUGCCUAUAUUUGCUGCAUUUGUUUCAUUGUUUAUUUUCCUUUUCUCAUGGUGGACAUACAAUUUUACUGUUUCAUUGCAUAACAUGGUAGCAUCUGUGACUUGAAUGAGCAGCAUUUUGCAACUUCAAAACAGAUGCAGUGAACUGUGGCUGUAUAUGCAUGCUCAUUGUGUGAAGCCUAGCCUAACAGAACAGGAGGUAUCAAACUAGCUGCUAUGUGCAAACAUCGUCCAUUUUUUCAUAUUAGAGGUGGAACCUCAAGAAUGACUUUAUUCUUGUAUCUCAUCUCAAAAUAUUAACAAUUUUUUUCCCAAAAGAUGGUGUAUACCAAGUUAAAGACAGGGUAUUAUAAAUUUAGAGUGAUUGGUGGUAUAUUACGGAAAUACGGAACCUUUAGGGAUAGUUCAGUGUAAGGGCUUUGAUGCCAGCAUCCUUGGAUCAGUACUGAACUCAGUUCCAUCCGUAAAAUAUGUGAAGGUAAGUGGCAGCUGCUGUAUUUAAUGAAAGCAGUUUUACCGGAUUUUGUUAGACUAAAAUUUGAUUGUGAUACAUUGAACAAAAUGGAACUCAUUUUUUUUUAAGGAGUAAAGAUUUUUAAUUCUGUGAUUGUGUGUAUGUGUGUUGAAACUGUAAAGCUUUUAUGACUCUAAUAUUAAUCUCUUAAAUGAAAUUAAAAGGCAAAAGAACAUGAUUGAGCUUAAAUGAUCAUUUCUUCCUGCAGUGAUUCUUGGAUUGUUUUCUCAUGUAUUUG